rnacentral:lncRNA from 1 species
CUUUAUUGUGGCAUUCUUUUAUUUGUGUAGUACAAACUGGAGAAUAAAACGGGUAGCUUUUCGCAUACAUAUUAUUCCGCUACAAGUUGUAGAUAUAAAAUCGUUCCUUUAUUUAUAGUCUCAAUACAUCAACCGCUUUCGCAUAUACUUUGGAAACUUAACAAGUUCUUUGAGACCUACUACAACACAAUACCUUAUUGUUAAUCAAUUGUGUUUCUCCAACAUAGUAAUAAUUGGCUCUUCUAGAGCUCUCAAUUAAUUUUGUACUACCACAAAUUCAUCAACAUCCAUGUGGUGAAUAUCUCUUUUAAAGAGAAAAUUAUACCAUAUGGUCAUGGUCAAAAUUAUAUGCAAGAUAUGUUUCUUGUAUUAUCAUUGUUCUUUAAUAAUCAUAUUUCCAAAAUAUCUUGGCGUACAAUAGGUACGUGACCAAUGAUCAUUCAUGCCAUAAUAAUAACAUUAUUUUCAUAUAUCAUCUCAAACCUUGGUAUAUUCACUACUAAUAGCAUGUUCAUAUUUUUCCAAUAAUGAAUAUGUAUUCAUAACUCAGAUGUUGUCACAUUCACACCAUGAAUGAACCAUAAUAAUCUGUAUGUGAUUUAUUAAAUCUCAUAUUGUCAAAUUGAUGACAUAUAUUAC